UUGUGAAUAUUGGACCAUGGGCGGAAGCCUGAUCCAGCCAUGCCGCGUGUGUGAAGAAGGCCUUUUGGUUGUAAAGCACUUUAAGCGAGGAGGAGGCUACUUGGAUUAAUACUCUAGGAUAGUGGACGUUACUCGCAGAAUAAGCACCGGCUAACUCUGUGCCAGCAGCCGCGGUAAUACAGAGGGUGCGAGCGUUAAUCGGAUUUACUGGGCGUAAAGCGUGCGUAGGCGGCUUCUUAAGUCGGAUGUGAAAUCCCUGAGCUUAACUUAGGAAUUGCAUUCGAUACUGGGAAGCUAGAGUAUGGGAGAGGAUGGUAGAAUUCCAGGUGUAGCGGUGAAAUGCGUAGAGAUCUGGAGGAAUACCGAUGGCGAAGGCAGCCAUCUGGCCUAAUACUGACGCUGAGGUACGAAAGCAUGGGGAGCAAACAGG
rnacentral:rRNA from 1 species